UUUUUUUUUUUAAUUUAAACAACGGCGUCGUUCGUGUUCUUGUCUCGUCUCUUUCUCUCUCUGUUUGAUCCUUGACCACAAACUCAGUAGAGCAGGAAAUAUAUUUUUAUGUGAGUUUGUGUAUCAUAGGUCUUAGUGAAUUAGUCUGGAAAGUUUGUUAUCUGCGAAUUUGAUCGGAAACCAUUGUUACAGAGAAACAGAGGAUCGGUGACGUGGCAAGUUUGUUAGAGUCGUUAGAAGCUGGAACGAAUAAUAAGAUGACGCUUGGCAGUAGCUGUUGAUGAUGAAACAGAGUAUAAAACUCAGUUUCUGCUGUUUGUUACAUUCUUUCGAAAAGUGUGUGUUUCUUCUUGAACCUUGAGUAAUUUCUGUGUAAUUCUCAGUUCAUUGUGUUUUUUUUUUGUUUUUGUUUUUAUUUUUGUGUUCAUUGUGUUUAGAUUCUUUCUUUCUUCAGUCCAGAAUCUAUACCUUGGAUAUUGUUUCAUGAACGGUAGUUUGAUAUCAUAGAGAGAAACAGAGUUUAUCUCUAUCAACCAUCAGGGAGAAAGUUCUGAAAACAUCAACCUUUAGCACUUUCACCGUUAAUGCAAUCUCUUUCUUUAGCUUCAAAGUUGAGGAGGCGUAAAAUGCAUCAUCAUCACCAAGAAGACUCUCAACAAUGUUCUGUAGAGGUGUCUUUCGAUGCAAAGCUUCCAAAUUUGUCUGAAAAGGGGCAAAGGAACAGCUUUUAGACUCUUCUGAUGAAGAAGACUCUCAGAACAAUGAAAGAACAUUGCCUUCAGGACGCGUAAGUGUUCCACAUGCUGUUGCGUGGACAACUGUUGCUGGUACUUGGGUGCUUGUUUCCGUGGGAUUAUUGUCUCAGUUAUAAGAGAGAUUGUGAAUCUAAUCCUUUUUUUUUCCUUUGGCGACAAAUAUGAUGGCUGCUGGACUUGCAUCUGCCAAUGACAUGUGAGGCUCAAUGUUGAUCCGAUCAUUCUAAGGAUGAGAGCUUUGCAAACACUUGGAUGUGCAGAGAUAAAAUAUAGAUUCUUCAGUUUUGCAUUGGUUUAUCGGAGGGAUGGAGAAUGCACCGUUCUCUGAGUGGUUGCAGUUUCAGAUGGUGAUUGUUUAAGAAGGAGACGGUCCUUUCAAUUGCUCCCGAGACUUGUAGUGAUUGUGAUUUACUCAAAAAAAGAUAUGAUAAACAGGAAUCGACUCCAGAGAUUGUUCGUAUGACAGAGUCAAGAUAUGUAAAUGUGGAGAUUGACAGAGUUGUCCAAAUAGAACAAGCACAUUCCUUCCAUAAACACAAGAAUGUGUUGCUAUGGAUUAUCGAUUCUACUCUAGCUUCGGAAUUGAGACAUUGGUUGUGUAAUGUUUCUGUUGUAGUAAUGAGAUAUAGAUAUAU